AGGCGAGGAGGCAAGGAAUCGCUGCGGCGUCUUGGUGUUCUCCACUCUGGUUCUCAGGUGAAGAGAUGGCGUUUGUGAAGAGUGGCUGGUUGCUGCGACAGAGUACUAUUUUGAAGCGCUGGAAGAAGAACUGGUUUGAUCUGUGGUCGGAUGGUCACCUGAUCUAUUAUAAUGACCAGACUCAGCAGAAUAUCGAGGAAAAGGUCCACAUGCCUGUGGACUGCAUCAACAUCUGCACCGGGCAGGAAUGUCGGGAUAUUCAGCCCCGGAUGGAAAGUCAAAAGACUGCAUGCUCCAGAUUGUUUGUCGAGAUGGGAAAACAAUUAGCCUUUGUGCAGAAAGCACAGAUGAUUGCUUGGCCUGGAAAUUUACACUCCAAGAUUCUAGGACAAACACAGCGUAUGUGGGCUCUGCAGUCAUGACCGAUGAGACAUCGGUGGUUUCCUCGCCUCCACCAUACGCGGCCUAUGCUGCGGGUAAUAUCACAGCACAUCAGAAACAAUCCACCAAUCAGUACCCGGAGGAUCCAGUCCUGCAGGGUAAGAGGAUGACAGCAGGCGACAUCUGGGGCCCAACUGAGGAGAAAGCCAGGACCCGCCCCCUCCAGGCCCUGCCCUUCAGAACACCUCUUCCAGGCCUCGCCGCCAAGAUGAUGAUCACCCUGUGGCCCCGCCCCUUCCCUCUGUCCGCCGGGCCCCCAGGCAGCCUCCUCAUUCUUGCCGCGCCCAGAUCCUGUUCAAGGUCCCGCGCCUUCUAG